CGUAGGUGGCGAGCGUUGUCCGGAAUUACUGGGUGUAAAGGGCGUGUAGGCGGGAAUGUAAGUCAGAUGUGAAAUUUCAGGGCUCAACCCUGGCGCUGCAUCUGAAACUAUGUUUCUUGAGUGCUGGAGAGGAAAGCGGAAUUCCUAGUGUAGCGGUGAAAUGCGUAGAUAUUAGGAGGAACACCAGUGGCGAAGGCGGCUUUCUGGACAGUAACUGACGCUGAGGCGCGAAAGCGUGGGGAGCAAACAGGAUUAGAUACCCUGGUAGUCCACGCUGUAAACGAUGGAUACUAGGUGUAGGAGGUAUCGACCCCUUCUGUGCCGCAGUUAACACAAUAAGUAUCCCACCUGGGGAGUACGGCCGCAAGGUUG
rnacentral:rRNA from 1 species